rnacentral:misc_RNA from 1 species
ACAGGCUAAAAUCCAACUUAAUUUAUUAUUAAUACCAUGAAGUUCAUACAUACCAUGAUGGAAUGACAUGCAAAUACACAGAAAUGAUAAAAACAGAAAUGAUAGAAACACAAAUAAUAUAUGCACUAUGGCAUAUAUUUGCUGCUGAUAUUAAUAUAUAAAACCCACAUAUAUAAAAACCUACUUAUAUAUAAUUAUACCACAUCAUUUAUUUCAUAGGAGAUGAUACUUAAUUUAUGGAAGCAUGAAAUAAUUAAGGUGCAGCACUGCUAGGGCCCUUAGGAUGACCGGCGCCAGGACUAUGGCCUGGAUCUGUGGGUCGAAAAUCGUCACUAUCUCCCUCAGUAUCCACUAAAGGGUUGCGGCGGUGGAAGUUGAAAUCGCCAGUACUCAUCACACUGUUCUCUUGGAUCUUCAACAGCCUUCCCUCAGUGGAAGAAAUUUCAUAAGAUAAAACUAGUGCAAUGAUCAAAGCAAUAGUGAAAAUGAUCUUAACUCUAGCCAUGCCAAAUAUUUUCAAGUGAAGGGUAACUAGAAAGCUGAAGAAGGCUAGCUAGGAGAGGUGUUUAGAG